CGCCACUGUCGAGUUCAAGUUCCACUUCCGGGGUCCUCGGCGAGCAUCUGACAUCAUCAGGCCUACAGUCGCCAACCCGGAAGUGGACGAUGCGCGUGUGCGCCGCGGCGGCGACAGAAGUGACGGUCAACGGCAGAAAAGCGCAUGCGCUAGGCAUAGGGACCUGGGAAGUAACCAUGAUCUUCCUCUGUGGGGCCUUCAUCUCUGAUCUUUCCAGCUCCUACAGACUAUCAUUGCAUGGCCUCUCUUCCCACAGAAGGAGCAUAUUAAGGGGUCUAUCAGAGCAAUCUCUCAUGGCUCUUAAUAAUGCUUCUCUGGCCAGGACUAGUUUUGUGUGAUAUUAUACAACAUUGGGGUUCCAGUGUGUAUCUACAGUUGGCCAAUGGUGAGCUCCUUUACUGUUUUUCUGAUUAGCUAGAGAGAUGACAUUAUUUUUCUCUCUCUUUGUCAGAAAUGUAUCUAACAAAUUUUCCACAUCCAACAAAGAAGGGUCAAAGUUUCUAAAUAUAUUCUCUAAUUUUUCUAUAACCAAUAUUGGUUCUGCCUCAAAUGAUGGAACAUUGUGCUUGAAUUUUUAUAAAUCGUCAGGUUUAAAAGGUGUAUAGUGUCUUACAGACACCAAGUUCCCCUCUUUAUUAAAGGUGGGUACUUCCCACAAUGGAAAUAAACUUCUGUCCAAAUUAUCUGGUGUUACUGUU
rnacentral:lncRNA from 1 species